GACGAACGCUGGCGGCGUGCCUAACACAUGCAAGUCGAGCGAAUGAAGUUCCUUCGGGCAUGGAUUUAGCUGCGGACGGGUGAGUAACACGUGGGCAACCUGCCUCAUAGAGGGGAAUAGCCUUCCUAAAGGGAGAUUAAUACCGCAUAAGAUUGUAGUAUCGCAUGAUACAGCAAUUAAAGGAGCAAUCCGCUAUGAGAUGGGACCGCGGCGCAUUAGCUAGUUGGUGAGGUAACGGCUCACCAACGCGACGAUGCGUAGCCGACCUGAGAGGGUGAUCGGCCACAUUGAGACUGAGACACGGCCCAGACUCCUACGGGAGGCAGCAGUGGGGGAUAUUGCACAAUGGGGGAAACCCUGAUGCAGCAACGACGCGUGAGUGAUGACGGCCUUCGGGUUGUAAAGCUCUGUCUUCAGGGACGAUAAUGACGGUACCUGAGGAGAAAGCCACGGCUAACUACGUG
rnacentral:rRNA from 1 species